ACAAGCCUCAAAAUUCUCAAAAUGGACGGUGGUGAGUAGGCUGUAUGCGUGUGGUCGUAAGGUUUUUGGAAUAUGUUUUCGCUUGCCUUAAAUACUCAAAAUGGGAGUCACUUUGCUGAUGUGCGUGUAUAAUAUGUUAAUGGAGACCUGAUGAGAUAUCAGCUGCUGUUCCGUUUGGGGAAAGAAUGUUAAUGGUUUCGUGCCCUCCCCUAACUGCACCAGGCAUGGGAAGAUUGACUUCCCCCCUGCUGUGUGGCAGCUGUAUAAUAAAGGUUGGGGAGAACAGGAGGACAAACAAUAAUGGCUUCGCACUGGAGAGGAUAUAACUGGGCCCAGGAGCAUUUGCGCGCGUUUUACUUUCACAACAAAA